AAUAGAUACCCGGGUAGUCCACGCCGUAAACGAUGAGUGCUAAGUGUUGGGGGGUUUCCGCCCCUCAGUGCUGCAGCUAACGCAUUAAGCACUCCGCCUGGGGAGUACGGUCGCAAGACUGAAACUCAAAGGAAUUGACGGGGGCCCGCACAAGCGGUGGAGCAUGUGGUUUAAUUCGAAGCAACGCGGAGAACCUUACCAGGUCUUGACAUCCCGGUGACCACUAUGGAGACAUAGUUUCCCCUUCGGGGGCAACGGUGACAGGUGGUGCAUGGUUGUCGUCAGCUCGUGUCGUGAGAUGUUGGGUUAAGUCCCGCAACGAGCGCAACCCUUGAUCUUAGUUGCCAUCAUUUAGUUGGGCACUCUAAGGUGACUGCCGGUGACAAACCGGAGGAAGGUGGGGAUGACGUCAAAUCAUCAUGCCCCUUAUGACCUGGGCUACACACGUGCUACAAUGGACGGUACAAAGAGCUGCAAGACCGCGAGGUGGAGCUAAUCUCAUAAAACCGUUCUCAGUUCAGAUUGUAGGCUGCAAC
rnacentral:rRNA from 1 species